UACGAAGGGGGCUAGCGUUGUUCGGAAUCACUGGGCGUAAAGGGCGCGUAGGCGGCCUGAUAAGUCGGGGGUGAAAGCCUGUGGCUCAACCACAGAAUUGCCUUCGAUACUGUUAGGCUUGAGACCGGAAGAGGUAAGUGGAACUGCGAGUGUGGAGGUGAAAUUCGUAGAUAUUCGCAAGAACACCAGUGGCGAAGGCGGCUUACUGGUCCGGUUCUGACGCUGAGGCGCGAAAGCGUGGGGAGCAAACAGG
rnacentral:rRNA from 1 species